ensembl:lncRNA
CCCGUUCUACGAGAUUCGAUUAGGCAUGGCUGCACGCAGGUGUUGCAAAGCUAGAGGAGAGAAAGGAGUACGUUGAAGAAGGGCGUUCCCGCUCAGCUGUGAGCAGAGAGGUGGGACGGAGCUAAAAUCUGGUGUUGAUCGUCGUGUGAGAGCACCUGAGUGAACCUCCAGCAACGAUAACACUGCGUGGAGGGAGCAGAGACAAAGCACAUAAUGGCGCUUGUGCACGUUUGCAGCUGUAACUUUUGCUGCUGUAUAUAUCUUUUACUUUCUGUCAGGAAAGGAAAGUAACCGAGAGAGAACUGAAAGGAAAAAGACACUUUACCUCAUAUUUCCAUCUUCCCAGUUAAAAAAGUGCAUGCAAGAGAACCUGCAAGCUAAGCAAUCAAGUCAGGGAGAGAAACGCCCCCAGCCGACAGCCAGGUAACAAAGGCACCACCUGCGUGUCCCUGUAUUCCUUCUCCUCAGUUCCACCUGAGAAACUCAUCAUUCCCUGAAGACCGCCCCCCCCCCCAAAAAAAAAACAACUAAGGUACUGCAUUUCACACUGAGACUGGGUAAAGGAAUCUGCUACUGUAUAGAGCUUUCUGAGACACAUGAACCCUAGUUACCAGGGAAGUUGUGCUAAAUACACCAUCCCUUCAAAAUAAGGAGUCUUUUCUGCAAACAGAAAGCACAUCAUACUUCAUGCAUUAGACUGGGGUCAGGUUUAGCACACAAACAGCUACAGCCUGCCCAAGAGCAGACAAGUACUACAAUCAAGCCCACCUUUGAGGCUUACAUUCCCAGGGAGCACCUCUCUGUUGGUGAGCACAGAGUCCUGCAGAGCACCUCUCUUCAUCCACUUGGACAAGUUCUCAUCAAUGCACUCCUGCAAUAUACAUUGCUCCUCCAUCAGAUAUUGGCAUAGGCACAGUUCCUCUUCUUUAAAACAAGAGCAAAGAAACUUUGGAGGUGUGGGGAACUCAUCACCUGCAAUUAUCACAAUCAUCUCUGCUUGUAACCCUUCCUUCUCAAAGAGCUGGAAACAGAAACAUGAAGAAAGCAUUCUGAAGCAUUGGUGGAGUAGCCUGGCUUGUUGAAUGAAGUACAUAAAAUCCAUGCUUCUAUCUCGAUACUGAAAGGUGUCCCUCACUUCAGUUCUCAUUCUGUAACACUGAAGCAUUGUCUUGAGAACAACUUGAACAUUUCGUUCCUGUUAUCUGUGUCGAAAUCUCCAGAUCACCCCAAACCUCAUAUACUUGCAUAAAAUAAGUGGUGACAGAAGGAAGAGACUGAGAAUUCAGGUGGAGAGAAGAGAGGCAGUUCUUUAGAGUGAGAGAUACGGUUCUAUGGCCAGUGUGAAAAAAAAAAAAAAAACAAAACAAAAAACAGAGAGAAAAUAAAAUUUUCCUCCUAUCUCUGUUCCACUCUCAUUUUAAUACAUCUUCAGACUAAAGCAGUGACAUCUCAUUUUCGACUGAAGACGUUUGGAAAUGGAUCUCCUAAAAAGAUGUCAGCAAACAGGCAAAUAAACACAGAAUGCAUAUCUAAGCUACUGGAUGUUUACAAAAGGUACUGCAGAAGGGAAAAUGUACCAGAUGAAAUGGAAAUUAUUUCAUGAAUCACCUCACGAUUUCACAGAAAUAAGGGAAGUAUUAUUACUGAUUAUUCUCCAUAAAACAAGUUUAAAAACAUACCAUCGUCUAAAAAGGAAAAGUGAAAGGUUUCUAAAUUGGAUAUUUCAAUAUUGCUAAUGAGAACGAAGUGAGCUGAUGAAUGUUGAAUCAUUCCUUGACAGUUUUUAAACAAAUAUUAUCAUUCAUUCUCUUUCCUGCAUCGACAGAUGAUGUUUCUUGUUCAAAUGAGGCUUCCUGACUUUUGAUAAAGGCUGCUGAAAAUAGCACUCCCCUUCCCAAGCUGUAUAUUCACCUCUAGCAUAUACUGACAUACUGACAGGGAAUGAAAAUUUGGGAUGCUCUGCAGUGUUCUGCCCUUUCAUGAAGGGUUUGUCUUGUGUGUGAAGUAUGAUGUACACCAUGGUAUCACUAUAUCACAUUACCCGGUGAUGAAUUUAGAAGCUGCCACUGCUGUCUAAUUCAGCAAUCCAUUUUGAAAUUGAGUAGCCUCUUCUCUCCCUUAAAAGUAGGGCAUCAUUAAAUUAAAGUAACCUAUUGUGUGCAGCAGACUAGGCAAGAAGUGGGUGAUGUUCUCCUGCCUUCAGCUGUCUGUCCCUGCCUGCUGGCUGCUUUCAAAUGGAGGAGACAAGUCUGAUGGGCUGCUUAAACUCGUUCCUUCACUUCCCUCCAUUCUUAGCCUCCACAGAGGGCAGACUUGGGACUGUAAAGAACAGCUGCUUACCUCACUGAUGCUUUAUAUACUGAUUUAAGUGUGUAUAUGCUCACUUUUAUAUCUUGUUUAUUCAUUACUGUGGAAGGCUAUAGGAAGUUGGAGGUGAGGAGAUGCUUUCCUGCAGGGGGAAAGUUGCAAGGUACAAGACUGAAAAUGGAUUUUGGAUUUGUGGAGCAGGCUGUGUGUAAGCAAAUGCACUUGGAUUCCGUGCUGGCUUUCUCCCGUUACACAGUUUUUGCAUUGUUCUUGAUCAAAAUGGAUGGAAAAUACUGAGGGUGUUCACUUGGUUUUGCUAUAAUUGCUAUAAACAUUCUAAAUAGUGCUUUGGUUAAUAGUCAGAAGGACAAAUGGGAAGGAAGCCAUCAGGUGGGUAGUCAGGUAGAGACACUUUGUUUGCGUUUACUGUAAGAGCACAUUGGAAAUAUUGUUAAUUUAACAUCAACCAUCUAAAGAUAGCACCAAUUCUAAUUUCAUCAGCAGGUGAGUGUGAAAAAUCGGCCAAUGUUUUCAAUGUAGAAGUGGAAAAAUAAAAAAAUAGAAAGCCAGUUAUGUAUUAAUUGUGAUAGAGCACUAUCUGAAUUUGAAGAGCUAGAAAUUCUGCCCAUUUCAUCGAGACUUGACCUAACAUUUCCCACUGCGAGUAGAAAAUAUUGAUAUAAUGCAUAGGAAUCAUUCUGUUUGUGGUGGGUUUUUGUGGUUGUUUGUCCUUUUCUUUCUUUCUUUUUUUUUACUAGCCGUUGCCCAUAUGGCCAGUUAAUUAUCCUUCUGCAGGCAGAAUUAUUUUAUUUAAUGAAUUUUUAAAUGUCAGUGACGUGAAAAACCAUUACUGUGGUUGUAAGUCCAUUACUCACCUUCAGCUUCUAUUUCCCAUCACCCCCCACUUUAGCUUUAAGGAGCAUCUGAAGUGACAGAGCUUUGAUUUCAGUUGAGAGUGCUGAGCACAGAAGUCUUACAAGUAAUACAUUAUUAAAAAAUCGUAGCAAGAAAAUUAAUUUCUACUAUCGUAUGCCAUGCUGGGUAUAUCACUUCUAACAAAUGACCUUUUUUUUUCAUAUAUUCAUUGGUAGAUUUACCAGGACAAAAUAAUUACUUUGUUUUCCACCUCUAAGAAAAAAAAAAAAGUCUUUUUCUUGUGCGUGUGUGGUUUUCUUGUUUUGUUUUUAAUUGAAAUAAGUACACAAAAUGGGUUCUAUAAGAUAAAAAGAAAAAGGAAAGAAAAAAGAAGGAACUGGAAAACCACACAGAAAUGAGGCACUGGCUCCCUGUCAUGUUGUCUGGUCAGUAAUAUUUCUUACUGUGAAAUUCCUGCAUGUUCGCAUGUUCAUGUUUAAAUCCUCCCAGAGAGAUUUUGCAUUGGAUCCUAGUUGAACUCAAGAAGGUAGAUGGUUAUGCGGUUUCUCAUAUUUCUUGCUUUUGAGAGGAACGUCUGUUUAUCCAGAGAGCCUUAUCUGGGCUUGGCGACGAGCACAUUCCGCAGCCAGAAGAAGGACCAGACAGCUAUACUCUGGACCACCUCAUUUCAGAAUUCUGCUUGAAGCACACUAAAGACUUCAGUGAGACUUUCUGACAGCGUGUGGUAAUGAAACUACCCCAUAAGGAGAUGAAAAACAAGAUAUACUCAAUGGGAGGAGCACAUGCUUGUACUUAAAUUCUUCUGUUUCUCCUUCAGUCAGAUGGGCAAAGGAAAAUGCUGUCCUAUCCCAAGAAAUGCAAAGGCAUAAUCAAGUAUGUCUGUGCCUCUCUUGCCAUUUUGAUAUUGGGAACUCAUCCAGCUGUGAACCAAUAGUCUUAUAUGGAAGAUCAGAACUGCUGCUCCUUCGCUUCUUGAUGUAGGAUCUCUCUAUACACAAGCACUGUGCGCGAGUCUUCCCCUUAAAACUUUGAGCACUGCAUAAAUUCUGCUGGUCAAGAGGCUCAGACUGUGAUUUCAAAAGGAACUCCCGUAUUUGUCAACACGUAGCUGAUGAAUGCUCACAGCUAAGAAGUGGUAUUGUGGAUCCCUUUCAUGACUUAUACCUAUAUUUACUGUGAUAACUGCAGAAUAAUCACACCAAUCACCAAGUUACUUGAAAAUAAGUAAGUAACAACAUGAGACAAACCUUAUCUUUACUACAAAGGCAUGCACAAGUUGCUCUAAAUUCUAGCUGGCACUUUACGCACCAAAAGGCUAAGAACUAUUCAAUCACCCUGCUCUUCCAGAACUUCCUUUACUGACUAAUAUAUUCUGGAGAGGUACCUGUGGGAGGAUUGGAGUGAGCCACUGCCUGCAGAGCUAAAUAACAAGCAUGAACACAAGGUACUCACCUAAACAUCCUCCAUGAAAAUGCAGCUGACACACUUGAGGGACGGGAUGCCAUUCGAAAGAAGCAUGGUGAGCAGGGCCAGGGAGAUGGUCCUGUCCUCUACUCUGCGCUGGCAAGGCCUCACCUGGAGUACUGGGUCCAGAUGUGGCGUCCUUUGUACAGGAGAGGCACUGACCUGUUGGAGUGCAUCCAGAGGAGGGUCACAAAAAUGAUCCAAGGGAUGGAACACGUCUCCUAAGAGGACAUGCUGAAAGAGCAGGGGCUGUUCAGCCUGGAGAAGAGAAGGCUCCAGGGAGACCUGAGAGCAGCCAUUCAUAUCUAAAGGGGAGCUACAGGAAAGAAGGGGACAGACUCUUUAGAAGGGUUUAUUGUGAUGGGACAAGAGGAAGUGGUUUCAAGCUAUAAGGGGAAGAUUUAUACUGGAUAUAAGGAAGAAGUUCUUUGCAAUAAGGGUGGUGAGGCACUGGAACAGGUUGCCCAGAGAGGUGGUGGGAGCCCCAUUCUUGGAGACAGUCAAGGUCAGGCUGGAUGGGGCUUUGAGUACCCUGAUCUAGCUGUAGCUGUCUCCGUUCAUUGCAGGGGUGUUGGACUAGAUGGCCUUUAACGGUCUCUUCCAGCUCAAAAAAAUCCAUUAUUCUGUGAUUUUCACCCAGCCUAGUAUCUUUCCUGACAGGCUGUGUAGCCCGGCAGAUAAAGGAAGCAAAAUUAUCCUUCUUGAAUGUUAGCUCUUGCUUAGCAUCUUGGCAAAACCAGUUGGCAAAUAAACCUUUGUUUGACCUUGGUAUGUUUCUCUGGAAGCUCUGUUUUUCUCCUCUGCACUCCCUUCUUUAAAUAGAAAGAGAGGUCUCGGACCAACAGAGCGCAAAGGAGUCACAGCAGGCACAUGGGGAGGGAGUCUCUGCUUCCUCAGCUCUGGAUACAUCCCAGCCUGACAUGAUUUGUCACCUUGUGUAAUAUAAUUCAGCUUAAGAUAUAAAUUCCUGUAAGCCUUAAGCUGUGCAGCCAGAACGGUGAUAAAGUAACAGAGAAAUGAAGAUUUACAAGACACAUCUAAGGUGUAAACAUGAAUAAAAUAAUCCACACGCGUACAUAGUAAAAUGCUGUAUUCCUAUGCUUGCUUUAUAUUCCCCACACAGUUCGAAGUCUGAUUUACUGCUCCUUACUGAAAACACACUCUUGCUUGAAUAGAAACUUGCUGAAAUUUCACAAUUCUUAUCACUACUCAGGAUUGCUACAAAUUUGAUUCAGUUUGGGUUGGUUUGCCUUAGAAAUUUCUUCUGUGGGAACAGAACAUUUGCACAAGUCGUAUACCCCCCUACGUAUACCCUCCUGCAUAUACCCCCCUGCGUAUACCAUAGGGCCAUUUUUGCCGUGCCUUCCAGCGCUGGCUGCUAAAUGCAUGGACUCUCAGCUGUGACCAUUCAGUCCAAUUCUCAACAAGACCCUGCUCAUCACUGUUUGCGUAACCAGUAAGGAUUAGGUAAGAAGUUUAGAAAUACAGUUUGACUGACUGCCAAUUUUAUCUGUAUGCACCGUUUGUAUUUACUACUGAUUCAGUCUCAGUAACACAGCUGUGGAGUGGCACCUGGUAACACCAACACUGGAAACAGGAAGCGAAAGAAAUCAGAAGAAGUUUGCAUAGUUGCAUUUAUCUGGUACAUCUGAUCCAUGUUUCAGCUCCAGGAUCAGCUGAUAUUCUCAGUUACAACACUAACUCUAAAUAACAGUCUUGCUGCUGUAGGCUUGUUCAGAAUACUGCAAUGCAUGAGGUACCUGGUCUCAACUGUCCUGCUAAUUAAUCCCUAACAGCUCCCCUCCAAAAAAGUAUAAACGAACAAAUUAAUUCCCUCCACAUCUCCCUUCUAUUCUCAUUUUUCCUGUUGCAAGGCUAUUGACAAGGAACUAUGACUUAUUUCACGCAUGCAAUGACAUGCUCUGAACACAUACCGAAGUUACUGUUCCAUAUAUGUCAACUCUUCAUAAAUGCUCAUGCAUCUCACUAAUAUACUGGGACUCCAGAUUAACUAGGCAAGGUAAUAUACACUUAGAAUCAAGUGAUAAUCACAACAUCUACUUGAAAAGUAUUCAUUAUGUCUCGCGCAUUUCCCAAGAUGACUCUACCUCAAGACAGUAUAGGCCGGCAUCAAGUAGAAAAACAUCAGUUGCAAAGGCUACUUACCCACACACACCUUCCACAAUAAAAUUCUUUGGCUGCAAUCUAUGUUAACAACCUGGCACCCACAGCAAGGAUCUCCAUGACAUAGGGCUUUGAGUGUAGUCUGAGCAUGCUCUGCAUCUUGGCAGUUGUUAGCAAAGGAGUUCUCUCUCAUCACUGUUAAAAAACAAAGAUUUUGUCAGAUGUCAUGAAUGUAUCAGAUCUAUACGACAAAAAACGCAAAGCAAGGCAUUUGACUUACUCGUCAUUGCAGUUCAGUAGAUAAUUGUUUUGACAGUUUGGUCCACCUGGUUAUUCCACCCUCAUGCUGGGAAAUGUGGGUAAUUAUCUGGUCUGUCAGAGGUAAAACCAUAUUGCAUCACUGAUGUAAAUACUUGUUGGUCUUUUCUGAAGACCAAUUAUUACAUCUUUUAACAUCAUUCAAUUGAAAGUGUUUCUUACGUACCUUUUAUUUGGGGAUGCAAUCCUGAGGCUCAACAGCAGUAAAUGAACGACGCUCCCUCCCACAGCAACAGAAUUCCGCAGAUUACCAUACAGGUAAUUUUUAUUGGCAUUUAAGCAUUAAAUUAACUGCUAAAGUAUGUGCCUAACAGACAAAUCACAUUAAUGAGCACAUACGCUGGCAAGAUGUCAAUGAAAGUUCAACUAAAUUACUUUGCUUAUUCAUAGCUUCAGAAAUUAGGGGCAUGAUUAAUCCUCAUGGCUCCUAGACUGCAAAUAUCAAUAAUGAUUACGACAAUAUUUUACAGCAUGCUACAAACACUUUUAAAUGAAUUUUUAUACAGUCUUUUUUUUUUUUUCCUUCUCCUGGGGAGACAAGAGGCUUUCAAUAAAGUAUUUUGACGUAUUUUUCCCAUAAUUUGUUUGUGGUACCACAUAAAUAUUCAUAAAUACAGAAAUAUGUUUUCAAGAAUUCUCACCGAACAUUUUAAGUCUGAAAUUUUGAAGUCACUCUGUUCUUUCUUUUUACCCUUCCUAGUUUCCAAUACAUUAGAAACAAAAGAGAUUAAAAGCACAGUCACUGUUCUUAGGAUUAGUAACAUCUCAUUGCCAAACAACACACGAAGCAGCUAGUCGUUGGGAGGGGAACACUUCCCAUCUCCAUAGCCACCCUGUUAGCCAGUUAGGGCCUCCAAGUACUGGAGCCACCGGCUCGAUAAGCUGUUACCAAAUACAAGAUGAAUUUCUGAUACAGAACUCUGAUAACAGUCUUGAUUAUCUGUCUCCAGGCUGGGAAAUACUGGACAUCUUGGAAGAACAGUUUUUAGCUUAGUGGUCUGCGAGCUCAUCCUCCAGCAGGGUGUCUCCCCAGGGGAACGCUGUGAGCAUUCUCCCAUUAAGACUUUAUAUGGUGGUAGAUGAAAAUGUGAAUAAAUUAUAUUACAUAAAGUGAAAUCAAAGAUACUGCUGCAGUAUAACUGCAAUACCCCAGAUAGCGCUAAGCAGCUUCUUUGCCAGUUAAUUACUUUGAGACUACAUUAACUUUUGUGAACGCUGAAGAUGUCUGUCACCAUGGCACAUACAUGUGAAAUUUGCAGACAUCUCAGAAUGGAGCAAUUAAAAAAAAAAAGCCAGACUCUUACCUUUUCCC